GGACUACCGGGGUUUCUAAUCCUGUUUGCUACCCACACUUUCGAGCCUCAGCGUCAGUUGGUGCCCAGUAGGCCGCCUUCGCCACUGGUGUUCCUCCCGAUAUCUACGCAUUCCACCGCUACACCGGGAAUUCCGCCUACCUCUGCACUACUCAAGAAAAACAGUUUUGAAAGCAGUUCAUGGGUUGAGCCCAUGGAUUUCACUUCCAACUUGUCUUCCCGCCUGCGCUCCCUUUACACCCAGUAAUUCCGGACAACGCUUGUGACCUACGUUUUACCGCGGCUGCUGGCACGUAGUUAGCCGUCACUUCCUUGUUGAGUACCGUCAUUAUCUUCCUCAACAACAGGAGUUUACAAUCCGAAGACCUUCUUCCUCCACGCGGCGUCGCUGCAUCAGGGUU
rnacentral:misc_RNA from 1 species